GACGUUAUGUUAUUUGAUGGUCCUCGUUACUUGGAUAACCGUGGUAAUUCUAGAGCUAAUACAUGCGCCCAUGCCCAACUUCGUGGGAAAGGUUGUGUUUUUUAAUUGCAGACCUCCCCCUUGGUCCUCGCAUGGUCGUUAGUCGAUUCAUCUUUUCCAAUCGGAUCGACUGGUUCCGGCUGGGGAUCAUUCGGUGUUGCUUGCCCGACUCUAGCGUCGUACGGACGUGUAUGGUAUCUGACCCUGCCGUGGCCGUGACGGGGAAGAUAAAGGUUCGAUUCCAUUCAGGAAACGGAGACAGAGGCUCCGCCAUCCCAUGAAGGGAGCGCGGCCGGCGCUUACCUUAUCCUGUCCCGAUGAGGUGAGGUCGUGACAUAACGUUGACUGGCC
rnacentral:rRNA from 1 species